rnacentral:rRNA from 1 species
AGAGUUUGAUCCUGGCUCAGAACGAACGCUGGCGGCAGGCUUAACACAUGCAAGUCGAACGGGCCCUUCGGGGUCAGUGGCAGACGGGUGAGUAACGCGUGGGAACGUGCCCUUCAGUUCGGAAUAACUCAGGGAAACUUGGGCUAAUACCGGAUACGUCCGAGAGGAGAAAGAUUUAUCGCUGAAGGAUCGGCCCGCGU